AGAAGCGCGCAUGCGCAGGCGGGUGGCCACAAGCAGCUGGUAAGCUUCUGCAGGCUCAGACCCGGCGGCAGGCACCAAUAAACUACAAGGGGAGCUUUACCACUGCCUGGAUUACUACUACCUGCGCGACUUCCCGGCCUGCGCGUUGGGCGCAGCAAGGGCUUGAGGCUACUGGAGCACGCGCUGCGCACCAACCUGCUGGCGCCUGGCGGGCACAAGGACAAGGUGGCGCAGAAGCUCCUCAAUGGACAGCACAAGCCCGCUAGAGCCAGCUGCAGCCCUUGCUACGCACUCGCCUCACCUGAGGCUGUGUAGGAUACCAAAGGACCUGUUCAAAGUAUUUUCUGUAACUCCAACUGUAACCUGGUUCUAGAAGGAGAGAAUCCAUGUUUGGAAUGAUGAUGGCUGCAGCUUAACCAGAAAACCUCUGUAGCAUGAGAGUAUUAAUAAUAAUGUAUAUUUUCCUAAGAAAGAAUCAAAUCAAUUUUUGGAAGAGGGAUGGAUUGCAAAACUUUAGUAAUAAAGACUUCUGUUCCAAAGGUUUAUUCUAGUCACAUUUACCCUACAUAAAAUACCAACACCUUCUUGUUGCAAACACAGAAACUCCAGCCGUUGUAUUGACACUGACUUAAGAGAAACAGAAACCUCUAUAUAAGGCAAGAGUCCACACCAGAAUAAUUCGACCAAUAUGAGAAACCUCCAAAAAAAUCAA